rnacentral:rRNA from 1 species
GAUGAACGCUGGCGGCGUGCCUAAUACAUGCAAGUCGAGCGAACAGACGAGGAGCUUGCUCCUCGGACGUUAGCGGCGGACGGGUGAGUAACACGUGGAUAACCUACCUAUAAGACUGGUAUAACUUCGGGAAACCGGAGCUAAUACCGGAUAACAUGUUGAACCGCAUGGUUCAACAGUGAAAGACGGUCUUGCUGUCACUUAUAGAUGGAUCCGCGCCGCAUUAGCUAGUUGGUAAGGUAACGGCUUACCAAGGCAACGAUGCGUAGCCGACCUGAGAGGGUGAUCGGCCACACUGGAACGGAGACACGGUCCAGACUCCUACGGGAGGCAGCAGUAGGGAAUCUUCCGCAAUGGGCGAAAGCCUGACGGAGCAACGCCGCGUGAGUGAUGAAGGUCUUCGGAUCGUAAAACUCUGUUAUUAGGGGAGAACAAAUGUGUAAGUAACUAUGCACGUCUUGACGGUACCUAAUCAGAAAGCCACGGCUAACUACGUG